rnacentral:rRNA from 1 species
AUUAAAAACCAAUGCCCUUUGGGCUCACUGGUGAUUCAUGAUAACUUCUCGAAUCGCAUGGCCUUGCGCCGGCGAUGGUUCAUUCAAAUUUCUGCCCUAUCAACUUUCGACGGCUGGGCCUUGGCCAGCCAUGGUGACAACGGGUAACGGAGGGUUAGGGCUCGACCCCGGAGAAGGAGCCUGAGAAACGGCUACUACAUCCAAGGAAGGCAGCAGGCGCGCAAAUUACCCAAUCCCGACACGGGGAGGUAGUGACAAUACAUACUGAUACAGGGCUCUUUUGGGUCUUGUAAUUGGAAUGAGUACAAUUUAAAUCCCUUAACGAGGAACAAUUGGAGGGCAAGUCUGGUGCCAGCAGCCGCGGUAAUUCCAGCUCCAAUUGCGUAUAUUAAAGUUGUUGCGGUUAAAAAGCUCGUAGUUGAACCUUGGGCCUGGCUGGCCGGUCCGCCUCACCGCGUGCACUGGUACGGUCGGGCCUUUCCCUCUGGGGAACCGCAUGCCCUUCACUGGGUGUGUC